rnacentral:rRNA from 1 species
UGAGGAAUAUUGGACAAUGGGCGAGAGCCUGAUCCAGCCAUGCCGCGUGCAGGAAGACGGCCCUAUGGGUUGUAAACUGCUUUUGUACGGGAAGAAACACCCCCUCGUGAGGGGGCUUGACGGUACCGUAAGAAUAAGGAUCGGCUAACUCCGUGCCAGCAGCCGCGGUAAUACGGAGGAUCCGAGCGUUAUCCGGAAUCAUUGGGUUUAAAGGGUCCGUAGGUGGACGGUUAAGUCAGAGGUGAAAUCCUGCAGCUCAACUGUAGAAUUGCCUUUGAUACUGGUCGUCUUGAGUCAUUGUGAAGUGGUUGGAAUAUGUAGUGUAGCGGUGAAAUGCAUAGAUAUUACAUAGAACACCGAUUGCGAAGGCAGAUCACUAACAAUGUACUGACACUGAUGGACGAAAGCGUGGGGAGCGAACAGG